GGGCCCGUAGUCUAGCCUGGUUAGGACGCCGCCCUGACGCGGCGGAGGUCGCCGGUUCAAGUCCGGCCGGGCCCA
rnacentral:tRNA from 1 species